rnacentral:rRNA from 1 species
AGUGAACGCUGGCGGUAGGCCUAACACAUGCAAGUCGAACGGCAGCACAGUAAGAGCUUGCUCUUACGGGUGGCGAGUGGCGGACGGGUGAGGAAUACAUCGGAAUCUACUUUUUCGUGGGGGAUAACGUAGGGAAACUUACGCUAAUACCGCAUACGACCUACGGGUGAAAGCAGGGGAUCUUCGGACCUUGCGCGAUUGAAUGAGCCGAUGUCGGAUUAGCUAGUUGGCGGGGUAAAGGCCCACCAAGGCGACGAUCCGUAGCUGGUCUGAGAGGAUGAUCAGCCACACUGGAACUGAGACACGGUCCAGACUCCUACGGGAGGCAGCAGUGGGGAAUAUUGGACAAUGGGCGCAAGCCUGAUCCAGCCAUACCGCGUGGGUGAAGAGGGUCUUCGGGUUGUAAAGCCCUUUUGUUGGGAAAGAAAAGCAGCAGGUUAAUACCCCGCUGUUCUGACGGUACCCAAAGAAUAAGCACCGGCUAACUUCGUG